GCGGCGUGUGGUGUAACGGCUUGCACGCGGCGCUGUGAACGCCGAGGAGCGGGGUUCGACUCCCCUCACUGCC
rnacentral:tRNA from 1 species